GAUGAACGCUAGCGGCAGGCCUAACACAUGCAAGUCGAGGGGUAACUAGAGUGAUAGCAAUAUUACUUUGGCUAGACCGGCGCACGGGUGCGUAACACGUAUGCAACCUACCUUAUACUGGGGAAUAACUUCGAGAAAUCGGCGCUAAUACCCCAUAACAUUGCGAAGAGGCAUCUCUUUGCAAUUAAAGCUCCGGCGGUAUAAGAUGGGCGUGCGUCCAAUUAGCUAGUUGGUGAGGUAACGGCUCACCAAGGCUACGGUUGGUAGGGGUUCUGAGAGGAUGAUCCCCCACACUGGUACUGAGACACGGACCAGACUCCUACGGGAGGCAGCAGUGAGGAAUAUUGCGCAAUGGACGAAAGUCUGACGCAGCCAUGCCGCGUGCAGGAUGACGGCCCUAUGGGUUGUAAACUGCUUUUGUACGGGAAUAAACCCUCCUACGUGUAGGAGGCUGAAGGUACCGUAAGAAUAAGCACCGGCUAACUCCGUGCCAGCAGCCGCCGUAACAC
rnacentral:rRNA from 1 species